rnacentral:rRNA from 1 species
ACUCAAAUGAAUUGACGGGGACCCGCACAAGCGGUGGAGCAUGUGGUUUAAUUCGACGGUAAGCGAGGAACCUUACCAGGUUUUGACAUUACCCUGCAAGCGCACGGAAACGUGUGACCUUCGAGGGUGGGUAACAGGUGCUGCACGGUUGUCGUCAGCUCGUGUCGUGAGAUGUUCCCUUAAGUGGGAGAACGAGCGCAACCCCCAUGAUAUGUUGAUUUUCAUAUCAGACUGCCAGCGUUUAAGCUGGAGGAAGGUGGGGAUGACGUCAAAUCAGCGUGGCUCUUACAAUCUGGGCGACACACGUGCUACAAUGCAUAGGAACAAAGGGACGCAACAUCGUAAGAUAGAGCAAAUCCUCUCAAAAACUAUGCUCAGUUCGGAUUGAGGGCUGCAACUCGCCCUCAUGAAGCUGGAAUCGCUAGUAACCGUGAAUCAGCCUCGUCACGGUGAAUACGUUCUCGGGUUUUGUACACACCGCCCGU